AGCGUAGCCGCGGUAAAACAGAGGGUGCGAGCGUUAAUCGGAUUUACUGGGCGUAAAGCGUGCGUAGGCGGCUUCUUAAGUCGGAUGUGAAAUCCCUGAGCUUAACUUAGGAAUUGCAUUCGAUACUGGGAAGCUAGAGUAUGGGAGAGGAUGGUAGAAUUCCAGGUGUAGCGGUGAAAUGCGUAGAGAUCUGGAGGAAUACCGAUGGCGAAGGCAGCCAUCUGGCCUAAUACUGACGCUGAGGUACGAAAGCAUGGGGAGCAAACAGGAUUAGAUACCCGUGUAGUCCCUGUCUCUUAUACA
rnacentral:rRNA from 1 species